rnacentral:rRNA from 1 species
UACGAAGGGGGCUAGCGUUGCUCGGAAUGACUGGGCGUAAAGGGCGCGUAGGCGGGUUGUACAGUCAGGUGUGAAAUUCCCGGGCUCAACCUGGGGGCUGCACUUGAUACGUAUGGACUGGAGUGGGGAAGAGGGUCGUGGAAUUCCCAGUGUAGAGGUGAAAUUCGUAGAUAUUGGGAAGAACACCAGUGGCGAAGGCGGCUAACUGGUCCAGAUCUGACGCUGAGGUGCGAAAGCGUGGGGAGCAAACAGG